rnacentral:rRNA from 1 species
GACGAACGCUGGCGGCGUGCUUAACACAUGCAAGUCGAACGGAAAGGCCCUGCUUUUGUGGGGUGCUCGAGUGGCGAACGGGUGAGUAACACGUGAGUAACCUGCCCUUGACUUUGGGAUAACUUCAGGAAACUGGGGCUAAUACCGGAUAGGAGCUCCUGCUGCAUGGUGGGGGUUGGAAAGUUUCGGCGGUUGGGGAUGGACUCGCGGCUUAUCAGCUUGUUGGUGGGGUAGUGGCUUACCAAGGCUUUGACGGGUAGCCGGCCUGAGAGGGUGACCGGCCACAUUGGGACUGAGAUACGGCCCAGACUCCUACGGGAGGCAGCAGUGGGGAAUAUUGCACAAUGGGCGGAAGCCUGAUGCAGCAACGCCGCGUGCGGGAUGACGGCCUUCGGGUUGUAAACCGCUUUCGCCUGUGACGAGGCGUGAGUGACGGUAAUGGAUAAAGAAGCACCGGCUAACUACGUG